AUUGAACGCUGGCGGCAGGCUUAACACAUGCAAGUCGAGCGGGGGAAGGUAGCUUGCUACUGGACCUAGCGGCGGACGGGUGAGUAAUGCUUAGGAGGCUGCCUAUUAGUGGGGGACAACAUCUCGAAAGGGAUGCUAAUACCGCAUACGUCCUACGGGAGAAAGCAGGGGAUCUUCGGACCUUGCGCUAAUAGAUGAGCCUAAGUCGGAUUAGCUAGUUGGUGGGGUAAAGGCCUACCAAGGCGACGAUCUGUAGCGGGUCUGAGAGGAUGAUCCGCCACACUGGGACUGAGACACGGCCCAGACUCCUACGGGAGGCAGCAGUGGGGAAUAUUGGACAAUGGGGGGAACCCUGAUCCAGCCAUGCCACGUGUGUGAAGAAGGCCUUAUGGUUGUAAAGCACUUUAAGCGAGGAGGAGGCUACUUUAGUUAAUACCUAGAGAUAGUGGACGUUACUCGCAGAAUAAGCACCGGCUAACUCUGUGCCAGCCGCCGCGUAA
rnacentral:rRNA from 1 species